rnacentral:rRNA from 1 species
AUUGAACGCUGGCGGAAUGCUUUACACAUGCAAGUCGAGCGGCAGCGCGGGGGCGAACCCUGGCGGCGAGCGGCGAACGGGUGAGUAAUACAUCGGAACGUGUCCUUAAGUGGGGGAGUAGCUCGGCGAAAGCCGGAUUAAUACCGCAUAAGCUCUGAGGAGGAAAAGCGGGGGCUCCGUAAGGACCUCGCGCUGUUGGAGCGGCCGAUGUCGGAUUAGCUAGUUGGUGGGGUAAAGGCCCACCAAGGCGACGAUCCGUAGCUGGUCUGAGAGGAUGAUCAGCCACACUGGAACUGAGACACGGUCCAGACUCCUACGGGAGGCAGCAGU